rnacentral:lncRNA from 1 species
AAGAUUGUCUUGCAACUACAUAAAAACUGCAUAAGUUUUACUAUAUAAAGUGAUUCAACAACUUUCUUGUUGCAUGUAAAGGUUGAAAAAUAUAGAUGGCUAAAUUUCUUAAAUUUAUUUAUGUUAUGAUACUUUUUCUUUCCUUGUUUCUUAUUUUAUUCCAGAUUGUUGGUAAGCCUUUUAAUAAGUUUUUUAGUCAUUGAUCCUUAUAACAAUAGAUGAUCAAUUAUUCUACAAAGAAAAUAUAUUUUUGCUAGUGAUAAAAAUCAAGAUUUAACUCUUGAUAUUUCUAAGACCCCUUCUUUCGCGACACACAUGAUUAGCUCGUAUGAAGAAAAUGAUUCACAUGAUGUGUACGUGAAUUUUUUUUCAAAAUAAUCAAUUUUUUCAAAAAAAAUUCGAAAAUAACCAAUUAUUAAAAAAAAUACCAAAAUAACCAAGUUUGGUAGAGGAUGUGCCAGAUGAAUUGGCGCAUCCCCACAUUGUAAAGAGGAGGCGGCAAUAUCAUUGGCGCAUGCAUUGGGCUCCUCAUGAGGAAGCGCCAAUGCUAGUGGCGCCUACAUUGGCCCUCUUGAGGAGGCGCCAAUGCUAGUGGCACCUAGGUUCAUUUGCUUGGUGUAUGCGCCAAUUCAUCUGCCGCAAACAUCCCCCCCCCCCCUAUUUUUUUUAACUUUUUUAGUUUUUUUAAUUUUUUUAAUUUUUAAUAUUUAAUUUUUAUUAUUUAAUAAAUACAAAUAGUAAUGAAAAAAAAUAAAUUCAUUGAAUAUGUAAUAAUUGGUUACAUUGGACUGACAAUAAACUAAUGACCGACCCGAUUAUGACGUCCCCCGGUUCCACAUCCCGAUGCGUUAGUUUAUCUCCGAGGUCUCCCACGAUUUUCUUGAGGUGUUUGUGGUCUUUGGGUGCUGACCUGAUCGAGCGAUGGCUGGUUGGAAGGUCCGGCGGAAGUUCCAGCGGUAUUUGAUAAAUGUGUCAUCAUUUGCACCCAAUAUCCGGAGGGGCUCUGACCAACGGCACUUUCGUAAUGGAGUUCAGUGUCCAUGUCAUCGUAGUUAGGGCGUUGGGGUUGGGUGAAUUGGGGACGGUAUAGUUGCCCAAAUUGGGCCAUUGAGUCAUUUUGGAAACGAAGUAAUAGUUCCUGGGGCGUACUAUAGUUAAACAAUGGUUGGGUGUUCAUUGGUGGGGGGCUACGAUGAAGUGACCCAUAUGAAUUAUCUGGGCUAUAGACGGUUGUGGAUGCGGGGUUUGAUUCUUGGUUUUGUGUUUUGGUGGGUGGUAUGAACAGGGUGCGAUGUUGGAUGGUUGGUUAUUGGGUGGUUGGCAUGAACGGGUUGCGAUGUUGGGUGUUUGGUUGUUGUGUGUAUGUGGUCAGUUGAUGUUGUGUGGUUGGUUGUUGGGUUUGGGUGGAUUCACAUUGGUGUUGGGUGGUGAAUUGUUGUGGGGCAUACGAUGAUGAAGUAAGUUGGCGUGGAUUCAUCAAAUACCGCGGCUCAGAUACAAAUUGUUGAGUUGUUAUCGACCUAACCCAUGCCAUAUAAUAUUGAGUGGGUCUUGCACCUUGGAUGAUUGGUUCGUUCAAGAUGUGUUGUCGUCGAUUCCUCCAUUGAUGACAAUUUGUUUUGCAAAGUCUCUCCAGUCAGAAUAAUCUCAUUGUGCAUCGACCCUUUUUUGAUGUCAAUUCCCCAAACACGUGGGAGAUUCUGGAAUCUAUUGUAGCAUUCCGAACUGCAGUUUGACCCGGUCACUUUGGUGCAUUUCCACCGUAGUGAAUCGGAUAAUCGGUGUCUUCGCUGUCCAAACUGCAACAUCGUCAUGGUUCACAUCAUGAUUCAGACCCAGAUAUGACCUCCAAACAAACUAUAAAACAAUACGAAAUGGUUAUAUGGAAAAUAAUUUGAGAAUUAUUUUUAAAUUAAAAUAUAGUUCGGUAGGAUUAUUACAUCGUCAUGUCCAAUGUGGUCCAAUAGAUUUCGAUAGACUACAAUAACGUGUUUUAGACACCUGUUGUAGUUCAUUCCCCUUACUGACCACAUAAGAUGAUAAAAAGAAGUGAAAAAUAUUAUUUACUAUUAAUUAUAAUAAUAAAUAUAAUUAACUAAAGGGUGAAUGGUAAAGUCUUAGACUUACUUGGUUGCAAACGGGAACACGAAUGGACGCUCAUUUAUCGGGGCGAGCGACGACAUUCUUGACCAACCACAAGCUUGAAGCAAAUACACACAUGAAAAAAAAGUACAUGUAUUAUUUUUGCAGUUCUACACAUUGCACUAUAUAGAUGGGCCAGCACAGCUGAACCCCAACUAUAAGUGUUUAUCUUAUUAAUGUUGUGUAAUAAAGGUAAAUACAUUAUAUUAACAGAAUUACCUGUAUUUUCUGGAAACAAAAAGUUACCAAAUAAAAUCAUAAUAUAACACCGAGCUUUUAUUAUUUUCUCAUACUCGGUUGAAUCGUCGGACAAUACUAUACUGGCAUAAUAUUGUUUUAGGUAUUUUAAAUUAAAAGUUACCAAAUAAAAUCAUAAUAUAACACCGAGCUUUUAUUAUUUUCUCAUACUCGGUUGAAUCGUCGGACAAUACUAUACUGGCAUAAUAUUGUUUUAGGUAUUUUAAAUUUAUACCUUGCCCCUUGCUUGACCGGAUGUGUCUCCCUCAGUUUCGUCGUCUAACAAAGGAGCACCCAAUAAUUCAUUGUAUAUAUUGUUGUCUUGGUUAACUCGACCAUUCACUGCCUUUCCAUUUAUACAGAGACCCAACAACAUGUACACAUCCUUAAGUGUGACGGUACACUCACCAAUCGGAAGGUGAAAUGUGUGGGUCUUGGGUCUCCACCUCUCCAACAAAGCCAGAAUGAACUUGUAGUCCACCGAGUACGAAACAAUGUUUAGUAGAUUUACAAAUCCACAUCCUCUAAUAUAUGGUUCUAUUAAAGGAUCGUGGGGUACAUAUUCAUGUACACAGCAUCUAAACCGCUUCGGAUCCUAAUAACAAAAAUGUAAGAAAAUACAAUUAGAAGAAGAAAUACUAGAAACUAAAAAGAGAGAGAUAACAAAGGUAUAACACAAAAAACAUAAAAAGUUAAAAGAGAGAGAUAACAUACAAAUGCCGAGAUAUUCUCGAUUUUGCCUCUGUGUUCAUCGCCCAUAGUCAACAAAGACAUGAUUUGAUUUUGCAAAGCUUGAGUGUGGUAGAUGAAAGAAGUGUGGUAUAAGAAUAUAAUUGAGUAUUGACGAAGAUGAUUUGAUAUUGUUGAUAUGAGAGGCUAUUUAUAGAUGAAUGAGUGAGUAGAUUUGCAACCUAAAAAGAGUGUGAUUGGUUGCAUGGAAUGGCAAGAGGAGACAAUGGAAUGACAAAAUUCAGAAUGUGAGACAAAGCUAGCAUGUGAGGAAUCUCUUCUUGGCGCAUGUGAAGAAAGCACAUGCAAGGGAAGAGGAGCCCUUCCUCUUGGCGCCUAUAUGUGAUUCCUCACAUGCAAGGAAGAGGCGCCCUUCCUCUUGGCGCCUUAGUGUAGAGUAAUGGGAAGGGGCGCCCUUCCUAGUGGCGCCUCGACAACCAGAUAAAUUCAGAUGUACCUCUGUUGUAAUAUAUGAAAAACUAAAUUUAUUUUAUAGUACCUCUGUUGCAAUAUAUGAAAAACUAAAUUUACUUCAUAGUAGACGUCUGUGACGAAAAUACCAUUACAUAAAAAAUAACACAAACAAUUAAAAUAACUAGAAUACAAAAACUAUGCGAUUACAACCAUCAAAACAAUUUUGAACAUGUAAUACAUCAUCCUACGAGCGUCUUGGUCGGUCUUAAUAUCCACCCAUUCACGCACUUCUCCGUGUUGGUUGAACAUGGACACAAGCCAUUGUAUUCUUCUAAUCCGUUCACCCUCUCUAAUUUCUCCCUCUAACCAACUGUACAACGUCCGAUUAAGACGUUCAAACGUAUCUGUGUUCCAAAGUCGAACCUGUAUCGGAGCCGCAACGGCAGAAAAUAUUACAUCAGCAUUUCGUUUCUGAAUGAUCUCCCUCUAACCAACUGUACAACGUCCGAUUAAGACGUUCAAACGUAUCUGUGUUCCAAAGUCGAACCUGUAUCGGAGCCGCAACGGCAGAAAAUAUUACAUCAGCAUUUCGUUUCUGAAUGUAUGCAGACAUUGUUGAAACAGAGAGAAUUGAAAUUGAUAGUUGAACUAGACAAAUUAUGGUAUUAGAAGAUGAGUUUGAGUGAAAAAUAUUGUAUCCAAGGUGUGGUAUUUAUAGAGACGAAACAUCCAUUGUACAAAACACGUGGGCGCCUGAGGGAUUGGCGCCCACAUGACCAUCACACGCAGGCGCCAGAUGAAUUGGCGCCCACCAACCAAAAUACACUCAGACGCCACUAGCAUUGGCGCCUCCUCAUGAGGCCCAAUGCAGGCGCCACUAGCAUUGGCGUCUCCUCAUGAGGAGCCAAAUGCAUGCGCCAAUGCUAUUAGCGUCUCCUCUUUACAAUGUGGGGAUGCGCCAAUUCAUCUGGCGCAUCCUCUACCAAAAUUGGUUAUUUUGAUUUUUUUUUAAUAAUUGGUUAAUUUCGAAAAAAAAUUUAAAAAAUUGGUUAUUUUGAAAAAAAAAUCUGUGUAUGUUAUUCGUUAUGAUUAUCAAAAAGGGAUAUGGAAAAACUAACAAGUAAAUAUUUGUAUAUGACUUAGUAAUAUAUAUUUAUAAUACUAAAAUGUUCACUUUACUUUUGAUUAUUUAUUUGUUAUUAAUUUUUUUUUAACAUGCAGAGCUUUGGAGAGAUCAUAAAUGUCAUAUGUUACAAGUUUAUAGAAAUAAAAUGCUGAAAUUUGUUACCGCUAAAGUAAGUGGUAAAAAGAUUUAAUUGUGACAUUUAUUUAUUGAGAUUGAGUGAUGAAUGAUUUUAUUGAUUUGUUGUUAUUGUUGUUGUUAGUAAAAGAAUUAAUGUUAUUAUUAUUGUAAGAAAAGUUAAUGUUUUUAUUGUUGGUAAGAAAGUGUAAUAUUAUUGUUGUUAUUGAUAUUGAAUGCAAUGUUUUAAAAACCGGACCGGGAAUUGGAGAAGAAUCCAGUUAGAUCAACUUUUCAAAACCACUAAUGGGUCAAAACCGGAGUAAAACCAGAAAACCCACAUUGAACCGUCCAAAAUCAUUUGAACCAAAGAACUGGAGUCGAUUUUGUAAAAUCGUCCGAUUCAAAAAAAUGCAUCAAAUUGACCAUUUUUUAAUUAAUUUUUUUAAUUUUAAUAAGUCAAUGUAAAAACUUAACAUAUAUUCCCCAAUCACAAAAAAAAAUCAAUUUUUUUUUUACAAUCAUACAAAAUUCUAGGUUUUGUCCGUCCAUUAUAGUUUUUCUUUCAACCACACUCCAUCAUCAUCACGCAGUCUCUUUCAAACAUGGUCAUGAUGUCCAAAUCAAUAUUGAUUUUCGUUCAAGUCAAUAUUGUUUGUUAUUGUCAAGUAAGACUUGUUUGCUGUACUUCAACUCAAAUUCAAUUUUUUGUUGUUUAAUAAAGUAUAUUGUAUUAUUUAUUUUUGGUAUUCUAUCUUAUUUAAUUUAGGUAUUCCUAAUUAUUUGAACUUUAUUUUAGUUAUUAUAUUUUAUUAUUUUAAUUUUGGUUUGAAUUAGUUUAACUUAUUUUAUUGUAAUUCUUUAAUUUGGUCAAAUUAUUCUUAAAUGAAUGUUGAAAUGAAGUGUAAAACUAUGUUAUGCUAUUAUAUGUAUUAUCGAUAUUGUUGUAAUAAAUUUGUAAUGGAUUUUUGAAAUAUUUAUUUUAUCAAGUUGUGAACAUAUGAUUAUGUAUGAUAUAUCUAUGAAAUUUAGUUUAUUUAAUAAACGGUUCGACCGUAGGUUUAACCGGUUGAACCAAUUGAAUCUUAAAUUGCAAGUUUCACUGGUUUGAUCUUCGGUUCGCUUUUUAAAACAUUGAUUGAAUGUUUAAUAUUGUUGAUGUUGUUGAUGUAAAUGGUUUGAGGGUUUAAUGUUGUUGUUAUUGAAAGUUUAAUGUUGUUAUUGUUGUAUUAUCCUAAUUAUUUUUAAAUGUCGUUCGAAUUAUAGGUAUUUAACAUCCAAAUAUCAUUCACAUAAAAAGACUUUAAGAUGUUCGUUCAAGUCAGACAAUUUUUAUUUUUGUCUUUGUUGGUUAAUUAUUUGUAUAUGUUUUAGUUUUGUUGUAAAAAGAGAAUGUGUGUGUGCCAUUUUAACUUUGGUGUAAACAAUAUAUAAUUUUGAUAAUAAGGUAUAUGUAGUUUUGUUUCACAUAUGGGUCGUUUGUUUUGUUUCACAAAACAUACAAUUUAUGUUACAUUUAAAAAAAUACAGGUUAAAAUAAAAUAAAAAAUUGUAAAAUUAAAACAAGGGUUUUAGCCUUGAUUGGAUCACCAAAUUAAGAUCAAAAUCCUACAUCUAUCACCUCGGAUAAAAUAAGAAAUCGAGAGGAAAAGUGGACUGCGUUUUCCAAUUUUAAAAAUACAAAAAACUAUUUGCCUUAAAUGCACUUUUGAUUCCCCUAGUUUUGACAUUUUAAACAAUUGGUCUCCCUAUUACAAAACCUGCAAUUUUGGUCCCUUGAUUUUGAUUGCUUUUGAAUUUUUAUGGUCUCCCUCCACUUUUGCAGACGUGACAUUGAUGAUUGAGAUGAAAAAAUAUUUUUUAAUUAGGUGGGAAGGAUGACUAUGAUAAUUAUUAAUUAAUAUGUUUUUAAAUGAAUUAAUAUUUAAUAAGUUGAGUUAAUCUGUUUCUAAACUAAUUAAUUAAUUAAAACUUAUAAAAUUAGAGUCAUCAGGUUAAAACUCAUCCCUUUUAAACCAAUGCUCAAUAUACAUAUUACAUUUUUACUUGUGUCUAUUAGCUUUAUAAGCACUCAAGUCAGCAUUAAUUGUUUUGGUUAAAAAUAAUUUGAGUGUUUAUAAAGCUAAUAGACACAAGUUAAAAUGUAUUAUGUAUUUGGAUCUUGCUUGUAAAUGGAUGGGUUUAAUCCUAAUAACUCUAAUUUUAAAAUUUUUAAUUAAUUAAUUAGUUUAGAAAUAUAUUAAUUCAACUUAUUAAAUAUUAUUUCAUUUAAAAAUAUAUGAGAUAAAAUUAUCCUAGUUAUCUUUAUCACCUAAUUAAGAAAUAUUUUUUCAUCCAAAUUAUCAAUGUCACAUCUUCAAAACUGAAGGAGGACCACAAAAAUCCAAAAGUCAUCAAUCAUCAAUGCCACAUCUUCAAAAGUGAAGUAGGACCACAAAAAUCCAAAGGUCAUCAAAAUUAAGGGACUAAAAUUACAAGUUUUGUAAUAGGGGGACCAAUUAUUUAAAACGUCCAAAUUAGGGGACUAAAAAUGCAUUUAAGCAAACUAUUUCUGGGAAUCGAGCUCAUGACCGUUGUCAUUUUUUUCUUCCAUUGAAACUUUCAACCAAAGAAAAAAGUAACGUGUUUUCCUGUUUUUCUCUUCAACCUUCGACCAAAAUGAAAAGUGACGAAUUUUCCAUAACACUCUUCUUAACCUCUCCAACUGAUAUAAAUGCAUUUUCUAGACGAGAUAGAAUAAGACCUUUUCAUGUAAGAAUGAUUUUUACAAUUACAUAAGAGUUAAAAAUUAUUUAAUUGAACUAAAGAAAGAAGACAUGCUUUUACAUUAGAAAAUGAGUGAAUGAUUUUCUAUUUGUUACAUCUAUAAACUCCAACCCCAAAAUUUGUUUAAACUUUUAUAGACAAGUUACACUUUGGUUAUGAGUAACGAAAGGUUAAAUAAGAAGUGGAAAUAGCGAAAGGUUAGUAAAGCAGAAUGAUGCUAUCUAAUUAAGAUCAAUUGAUCAAUUGCCUAGUUAAAGAGACAAAUGUGACACAUCAAUAUACUUUAUUUACAUUUAAGAAUUAUUCUAUCUUCAGGAAGAUUGUCUUGCAACUACAUAAGUAGUAAAAACUACAUAGUUUUUACUUUAUAAAGUGAUUCAACAACUUUCUUGUUGCAUGUAAAGGUUGAAAAAUAUAGAUGGCUAAAUUUCUCAAAUUUAUCUAUGCUAUGAUACUUUUUCUUUCCUUGUUUCUUACUUUAUUCCAGAUUGUUGGUAAGCCUUUUAUAUUAUUUUCAUUUUUUUUCUUUAUUUUAUACAUAAUUGUUCAUACAUUUUCAGUAACUUUUCUUUACUCUUAUUUUACAUAACAGCAGGUGACUGUGUUUCUGAUUGUGAAGCCAUGUAUAGGUGUGAGUCUCCUAAUAGAACUAUGAAGUGUUUUAUGUAUGUAUGCGUGUGCUGGUGGUAACACAGUUAAGUAAAGAAUAACUAUUCUUGAGUUAGUUUGAUACCAUAACCAUUUGAAGUAGCGUGUAUUGAACAUUUAAUUAUCAUCCAUCAAUCAUGUGAUACUAACCAUCACUUAUUUUUAUAUGCAGAUUAUACUCUAUGGUUAUGAGAAGCAAUUAGUAGAGUUUCACUAGUGAAAGCUGAGUAGAGGAUUGUGCCUAGCUAUGUUUUUUUGUUGAGAUUUUUAGUGUAUAAUGACAAAUGUAUUAUGUAACUUAACCUUCAACUAAAUCACACAAACAAUGUUGAUGUGUUGGAAUUAAGGUAAAAUAAAUAAGUUGUAUCGACACUCUCAAUGAUGAAAUAUCAAACGUAUAUGGAAGAAAAUUUAUGAAAAAGAAAAA